rnacentral:rRNA from 1 species
CCUACGGGUGGCUGCAGUGGGGAAUAUUGCACAAUGGGCGCAAGCCUGAUGCAGCCAUGCCGCGUGUGUGAAGAAGGCCUUCGGGUUGUAAAGCACUUUCAGCGGGGAGGAAGGCGGUGAGGUUAAUAACCUCAUCGAUUGACGUUACCCGCAGAAGAAGCACCGGCUAACUCCGUGCCAGCAGCCGCGGUAAUACGGAGGGUGCAAGCGUUAAUCGGAAUUACUGGGCGUAAAGCGCACGCAGGCGGUCUGUCAAGUCGGAUGUGAAAUCCCCGGGCUCAACCUGGGAACUGCAUUCGAAACUGGCAGGCUAUAGUCUUGUAGAGGGGGGUAGAAUUCCAGGUGUAGCGGUGAAAUGCGUAGAGAUCUGGAGGAAUACCGGUGGCGAAGGCGGCCCCCUGGACAAAGACUGACGCUCAGGUGCGAAAGCGUGGGGAGCAAACAGGAUUAGAUACCCGAGUAGUC